UACGAAGGGGGCUAGCGUUGCUCGGAAUUACUGGGCGUAAAGGGCGCGUAGGCGGAUAUUUAAGUCGGGGGUGAAAUCCCGGGGCUCAACCUCGGAAUUGCCUUCGAUACUGGAUAUCUUGAGUUCGGGAGAGGUGAGUGGAAUGCCGAGUGUAGAGGUGAAAUUCGUAGAUAUUCGGCGGAACACCAGUGGCGAAGGCGACUCACUGGCCCGAUACUGACGCUGAGGCGCGAAAGCGUGGGGAGCGAACAGG
rnacentral:rRNA from 1 species